rnacentral:lncRNA from 1 species
UAGAGGUCUGGCUGACACAUGCGCCUGAGUUAACAUGCAUGAAGUAGGCUUCUACAAUCUCGCGGUUGAUUUGGUUUCUAUUUUUAUACAAUAUUUCAGCUUUUUCAAACAGGGGUUUGCAUGGGCUAUUUCUACAAUGGG